rnacentral:tRNA from 1 species
AAUACCUUCUUCCAAGGACA